AGGCCUAACACAUGCAAGUCGAACGGUAACAGGAAGCAGCUUGCUGCUUUGCUGACGAGUGGCGGACGGGUGAGUAAUGUCUGGGAAACUGCCUGAUGGAGGGGGAUAACUACUGGAAACGGUGGCUAAUACCGCAUAACGUCGCAAGACCAAAGAGGGGGACCUUCGGGCCUCUUGCCAUCAGAUGUGCCCAGAUGGGAUUAGCUUGUUGGUGAGGUAACGGCUCACCAAGGCGACGAUCCCUAGCUGGUCUGAGAGGAUGACCAGCCACACUGGAACUGAGACACGGUCCAGACUCCUACGGGAGGCAGCAGUGGGGAAUAUUGCACAAUGGGCGCAAGCCUGAUGCAGCCAUGCCGCGUGUAUGAAGAAGGCCUUCGGGUUGUAAAGUACUUUCAGCGGGGAGGAAGGUGUUGUGGUUAAUAACCGCAGCAAUUGACGUUACCCGCAGAAGAAGCACCGGCUAACUCCGUGCCAGCAGCCGCGGUAAUACGGAGGGUGCAAGCGUUAAUCGGAAUUACUGGGCGUAAAGCGCACGCAGGCGGUCUGUCAAGUCGGAUGUGAAAUCCCCGGGCUCAACCUGGGAACUGCAUUCGAAACUGGCAGGCUUGAGUCUUGUAGAGGGGGGUAGAAUUCCAGGUGUAGCGGUGAAAUGCGUAGAGAUCUGGAGGAAUACCGGUGGCGAAGGCGGCCCCCUGGACAAAGACUGACGCUCAGGUGCGAAAGCGUGGGGAGCAAACAGGAUUAGAUACCCUGGUAGUCCACGCCGUAAACGAUGUCUACUUGGAGGUUGUGCCCUUGAGGCGUGGCUUCCGGAGCUAACGCGUUAAGUAGACCGCCUGGGGAGUACGGCCGCAAGGUUAAAACUCAAAUGAAUUGACGGGGGCCCGCACAAGCGGUGGAGCAUGUGGUUUAAUUCGAUGCAACGCGAAGAACCUUACCUGGUCUUGACAUCCACAGAAGAAUCCAGAGAUGGAUUUGUGCCUUCGGGAACUGUGAGACAGGUGCUGCAUGGCUGUCGUCAGCUCGUGUUGUGAAAUGUUGGGUUAAGUCCCGCAACGAGCGCAACCCUUAUCCUUUGUUGCCAGCGGUCCGGCCGGGAACUCAAAGGAGACUGCCAGUGAUAAACUGGAGGAAGGUGGGGAUGAC
rnacentral:rRNA from 1 species